UACGUAGGGUCCAAGCGUUAUCCGGAAUCACUGGGCGUAAAGCGUGCGUAGGCGGCGAUUUGCGUGAGAUGCGAAAUCCGGUGGCUCAACCAUCUGGACUGUAUCUCAUACGGGAUUUCUAGAGGACGGCAGAGGCAAGUGGAAUUACGGGUGUAGCAGUGAAAUGCGUAGAGAUCCGUAGGAACACCAAUGGCGAAGGCAGCUUGCUGGGCCGUAUCUGACGCUAAGGCACGAAAGCGUGGGGAGCGAACAGG
rnacentral:rRNA from 1 species